UGCCAUAGCUCAGUUGGGAGAGCGUUAGACUGAAGAUCUAAAGGUCCCGCGUUCGAUCC
rnacentral:tRNA from 1 species